rnacentral:rRNA from 1 species
GACGAACGCUGGCGGCGUGCUUAACACAUGCAAGUCGAACGAUGAAGCCGGAGCUUGCUCCGGUGGAUUAGUGGCGAACGGGUGAGUAACACGUGAGCAAUCUGCCCUUGGCUCUGGGAUAACUGCGGGAAACUGUAGCUAAUACCGGAUACGACACCUUGGGGCAUCCCAGGGUGUGGAAAGAAUUUCGGUCAAGGAUGAGCUCGCGGCCUAUCAGCUAGUUGGUGAGGUAAUGGCUCACCAAGGCGACGACGGGUAGCCGGCCUGAGAGGGUAACCGGCCACACUGGAACUGAGACACGGUCCAGACUCCUACGGGAGGCAGCAGUGGGGAAUAUUGCACAAUGGGCGAAAGCCUGAUGCAGCAACGCCGCGUGAGGGAUGAAGGCCUUCGGGUUGUAAACCUCUUUUAGCAGGGAAGAAGCGAAAGUGACGGUACCUGCAGAAAAAGCACCGGCUAACUACGUGCCAGCCGCCGCGGUAA